ACUCCCAGCUGCCCAGCCUGCAACUAGAGCUCAGCCACUGCAGGUGACAGCAACGGGACCCGCCUUUGAGCCUGAGGCCAGGACUGACGCCACAGCCUGCAGCUCCUCCCCAAGCCCAGCCCCAGCCCUUGCCCUUCAAUCCUGAGACCCUGAGAUGCAUGGGUGGGGCUUUCAUCCGCUGGGGAGGCUGAGACCCGGGGGGCCACAGCUGGUUCCUGGACUCCAAAGCCCAGGACCCUUCCAAAUCCUGCCUGGACGGCACCGUGGCCAGGACCCCAGCCAGCACUUCCCUUUUCUGCGAGGGUUUUCUGUUUCUUUGAUUAUAAAAUAACCCCUGUUGGUGGGGGGAAAAAAUUAGCAAAAUAAAGAAAAGC
rnacentral:lncRNA from 1 species